CCUCAGAUCCCGUCGUCAUUGGUCCCCAGGCGGCUACAACUGAAACAGUAGCCCCUCCCCCAGAGGGAAUAGAAUUUGACUCUUC